rnacentral:lncRNA from 13 species
AGAAGGGAUAGAGGACUGUGGGGAGAAAAGAUGGAGGGAAGAGUAGAAAGGAUGUAAAAAAAGAGGAGAAGGGAUGGGGGACUGUGGGGAGAAAAGUGUGGUGUGUUGUCCUCAUAUGUCAUGUAAUUAACCUUUGCUGUCUGACUGUGCGGCGCUUUGU